AUCCAGCUGGCGUGUCCCAUAUAAGACAAAACGCGUGUCCUGGAU
rfam:Schistosoma rodhaini strain Burundi genome assembly, scaffold: SROB_scaffold0013900